UAGCGGAGGAAAAGAAACUAACAAGGAUUCCCCUAGUAGCGGCGAGCGAAGCGGGAAGAGCUCAAAUUUAUAAUCUGGCACCUUCGGUGUCCGAGUUGUAAUCUCUAGAAGUGUUUUCCGCGUUGGACCGCACACAAGUCUGUUGGAAUACAGCGGCAUAGUGGUGAAACCCCCGUAUAUGGUGCGGACGCCCAGCGCUUUGUGAUACACUUUCAAUGAGUCGAGUUGUUUGGGAAUGCAGCUCAAAUUGGGUGGUAAAUUCCAUCUAAAGCUAAAUAUUGGCGAGAGACCGAUAGCGAACAAGUACCGUGAGGGAAAGAUGAAAAGCACUUUGGAAAGAGAGUUAACAGUACGUGAAAUUGUUGGAAGGGAAACGCUUGAAGUCAGACUUGCUUGCCGGAGCUUGCUUCGGUUUGCAGGCCAGCAUCAGUUUUCCGGGGUGGAUAAUGACGGUUUGAAGGUAGCAGUCUCGGCUGUGUUAUAGCUUUCCGUUGGAUACAUCCUGGGGGACUGAGGAACGCAGCGUGCUUUUUGCGAAAGACUCGUC
rnacentral:rRNA from 1 species